GUUGCCGCUGGCUGCACUGCUUCAAACCAGAUAUCAACCGACUCCUUUCGGCUGACCCACAAAGCUGCUCUGUCAAACGAAGUUGGCAGUUCCAUGACAUGCAACGAUGACAAAUCAAAUUUGAUAUCGUGAAGGAUUAAGAUAGUUCAGCUCCAUAGCAAGUUAAUCUUGAAUACUAAAUAUCUAUAAAGAUCGUUUUUCCCUUUGAAAAGAACGCUGCAUUUCCCUUUGAAUUUUGCUUAAACUUACAGUGUCUAAAAGGGGUUAAAACUUAAACUAUUGUGAAUUAGUUAAAACGCACUAUAUUUCUAAAAGUAAGUUAUAAAACAUAUAAAUGCGUAUCGAUUAUCAAACAAACUUAACAAUAAUUACAGUCGAAUUAAAACGUCUGAAACGGUGCGAGCAGAUUAAGUUUUGAUAUGGUCAAAUACCGAAAGUGUAAGUAAAAAUGUUAAAUGUAACCUUAAAUACUCAAUCUCUGACCAAAUAUAUUUCCAGUUUAAAGCCUUUGAUACACCACAA